AAAAAUUUAGUUUAAAAAAAACAUAAUUUUGUCAAAAUUAAGAUACUUAGAAGUAAUUUUUU
rnacentral:tRNA from 1 species